AUUGAACGCUGGCGGCAGGCUUAACACAUGCAAGUCGAGCGGGGGAAGGUAGCUUGCUACUGGACCUAGCGGCGGACGGGUGAGUAAUGCUUAGGAAUCUGCCUAUUAGUGGGGGACAACAUCUCGAAAGGGAUGCUAAUACCGCAUACGUCCUGCGGGAGAAAGCAGGGGAUCUUCGGACCUUGCGCUAAUAGAUGAGCCUAAGUCGGAUAGCUAGUUGGUGGGGUAAAGGCCUACCAAGGCGACGAUCUGUAGCGGGUCUGAGAGGAUGAUCCGCCACACUGGGACUGAGACACGGCCCAGACUCCUACGGGAGGCAGCAGUGGGGAAUAUUGGACAAUGGGGGGAACCCUGAUCCAGCCAUGCCGCGUGUGUGAAGAAGGCCUUAUGGUUGUAAAGCACUUUAAGCGAGGAGGAGGCUACUCUAGUUAAUACCUAGGGAUAGUGGACGUUACUCGCAGAAUAAGCACCGGCUAACUCUGUGCCAGCCGCCGCGGUAA
rnacentral:rRNA from 1 species